AUCCAGCUGAAGAGUCUCAAAUAGGACGAAAUAUGAGUCCUGAAU
rnacentral:hammerhead_ribozyme from 2 species